GUGGUGGUGGUAGUAGCAGUAGUAGUGGUAUGGGUGGUAAUGAUAACAGUUUAGUGAUGGUGGUGGUGGUAUGGGUGGUAAUGAUAACAGUUUAGUGAUGGUGGUGGUGGUAGUAGUGGUAUGGGUGGUAAUGAUAACAGUUUAGUGAUGGUGGUGGUGGUAGUAGUGGUAUGGGUGGUAAUGAUAACAUGAUGGUGGUGGUGGUGGUAUGGGUGGUAAUGAUAACAGUUUAGUGAUGGUGGUGGUAAUAGUAGUGGUAUGGGUGGUAAUGAUAACAGUUUAGUGAUGGUGGUGGUGGUAGUAGUAGUGGUUUGGGUGGUAAUGAUAACAGUUUAGUGAUGGUGGUGGUGG
ensembl:lncRNA